AUGAUGGCGUUAUGACGUUUGAAUGUUAUAACAUGACGUACGUGACCUUAUAACGUGGCAUACAGCAUGACGUACGUGACCUUAUAACGUGGCGUACGUAACCUUAUAGCAUGACGUACGUGACCUUAUAACCUUUUCAUAUGCGCAUGCGCAUAAGCAACCUUGCUGCCUUAGCUUUCAUAACAAGCUAGCUAGCUAGAAUGGCUGAGCAGGAUGAAUUGUUUGGAGCAUGGAGUCAAUACUUUAUUGAUGUCAGUAGAUUCCUAGAGAACACAGAACAUCAACAUGAAUAGCGAAUCGAGAAUUUUGUGACUAUGUUUUGUCAAGACUAGAAGUUUGUCUGAGUACUUGCAUGCAACUAUCUGAUCAAAUGCUGCAAGGGGGUUCUGAAGUUGGAGAAGAAGAUGAGCUAGUAAUCAAUCGAAUUUGGUUCAUCUACUAGAGUGCCUGAGAAGUGUACACAGACAGUGGGUGCAAUAUGAAGAGAUGUUGGAUGUAGAAACCAGCAAAUUCCAGUAUCAAGCUGCUAGAAGAAUCUUGGGAAGAGGAAGACCUAAGUUUGAAAUUGAAAAGGAACAACUAGUGUACCUAUCAUCACUAAAUUUUAACUGGACUGAAAUUGCGGCCCUGCUGGGUGUGUCUUGUAUGACCAUAUAUAAUUAAGUUUUUGACUGAUAAACAUAAGUAAUACAUGUUUUACUAGUGUAUACAGAAGACGAGUUGAGUUUGAAUUGCUGGAUGACUCUGCAACAACUUUAUCAAAUGAUGAGCUCAACAGAAUUGUCAAGGAAAUUCAUUCAGAAUCCCCGACGUUAAGAGUCAUUAUGAUGGUAUGUGGAAGGCUGAGAAGAAUGGGAUUAAUGUCAAGGGAUAGAGUCCGAUGUUCUCUAAGGUCAUCUGACCCAUUAAGUGCAGCUUCAAGAUUGAUGGGUGGUCUUAGUCGACGACAGCCUUACUCAGUUGCUGGUCCAAACUCCCUCUGGCAUAUUGAUUCACAUCAUAAGCUUAUUAGAUGGAGAAUCGUCACUCGUGGCUGCAUUGACGGCUGCAGUAGGCUGGUGACUUUCUUGAAGUGUUGUGGCAAUAAUAAAUCGUCAACCGUGUACGAAUUAUUUUUGUGUGCAGUUCAAAAGCAUCAGCUGCCAUCUCGUAUAAUUAUAAGAAUGGACCAAGGUGGGGAAAAUGUAUUGGUCGCACGUCACAUGUUAGGACAUGAUAUGAGGAGUGUGAUUGUAGGAGCCUCGGUCCAUAAUCAACGCAUAGAGCGACUAUAUGGAGGGACAUGCACCGCUGUGACUAUUCUCUUUUACAAGCUGUUUUACUUUAUGGAACAAGUGGAUCUAUUAGACUGUUUGAAUGAGACGCAUCUGUAUUCCCUUCAUUAUGUGUUCAUUCCACGUAUUAAUCAGGCACUUGCACUGUUCAUUGGUGGAUGGAACCAUCACUCAAUCCAAACUGCACACCGUAAGUCUCCACACCAGUUGUUUACAACAGGGGCACUACUUUUGCAGCACGACUCGCAGCUUUGGAUUUUUUUGAGAAUGUGGAGGAAGAAUAUGGAAUUGAUAUGGAAGGCCCCAUCCCGUCUCAGGGACGUUCUAUAGUUGUGCCUGAGGUGCCAAUAAGGCUAAGUUCAGAGAAUUUUGCUCUCCUACAGCAAGCUGUUAAUCCGUUAGCACCUUCUGAUGAGUUUGGCAUUGAUUUGUAUGAACAAGUUUUGCAGUUUAUGUCAACGAUUACGGUAUAAAACAUGACCAUGAUGACUCAAUUUUGAUGUUAUUCUUACAUAAUUAUUAUUUUGAUGCAUGCCAUUGUGAUGCUCAGUAAACAAAGCUCAUAAUUAUCAACAUGAAAAAUGAUUAAUGAGAGUAUGCAUGCAGUACAUAGCUAUAAGCCAAAACAAUACUACCUAUAUAAUGAAAGGGAGUUAUUGUUAGAAUUGACGAUAAUCAUAUAAUUAUUAUGAACAUCCAUGAAGGUGAUUGAUUGAAAUGAAGGAUGACACUGAGAGUAAGCUAAGUAUAGCACAGCAAAAACACAUAUGUUAUAUGGGAUGCAUCAUCGUAUUUUAGUGUUAAAAUGACAGAAAUUUAUGUCAUUUCUACAUUAAAAUAAUUUCAAAUGAUGCAUUUUAUUUGAGAUGUUUUAUGUUAUUAUAACAUAAUUAUCUGUUUUUACUGUGUAUAUAGCCAAAACAAUUAUGACGUGAUCAGCACAAAUAAUUAAACUUAAGAAGUUCAAGGUCCAUUCAGGGAAUAGUAACAUAAUGAUAAUGACGAUACUUAAUUAAGAAGUUCAUGGUCCAUUCAGAAAGAAGUUACAAACAGUUCAUUACCCAUGCAACAAAGGUCAUUGUCGUUGAGGAUUGCCAUCCACUUUCCGUGAAAUUCGCUAUAAUUGGCAUACGAGAUUGGUAGCUUUAGCAAAGCAUCACAUGUGUUGUGCGCACAGGGCCUCCUGGCCCACUCAGACGAUUGAAUUGUACGAUGAUACUGCUGACAGACAAUACACUGCUCCCAGUUGUGAAGUGAAGAAAUCGCUGAAGCAGAUUAGUCGACAUAUUGCCAAUCAAUAUCUACAAGAUAGCCACCAACACGCUCCUCAGCAGGAUUCACCAACACGGGCAGUUUGAUAAUGCCAAACUUUCUUUGAAAACAUUAUUCUGAAGACAGAAGAACAAGUGAGGAGGCUACAAAUCUUGACAAUUAAAGCUCGUCAAGUGCUCCUCUUUUCUACUAAGGGAGGAGACUGGAUAGUGUGAGGACUGGAGUGUAUAUGUAUACCUGUUCAUUCGAGUGUUGUUUCUGGCAGCUCAGAGCCAUGAAGAGAAUCUACCUUUCUCAAACAUAAAUUAUGAGUUACAAAUAGAGGUCUAGAAUAUCAGAGAGGUCCAGCAGCCUGCUAAACCUUCAUAAUUUGAGGCAUUCAAUCAUCAUCCAUGAAGUUACAUGCCCUAGCUGGGUCACUAUAAUCAUGCUGCAGCACAACUGCAUGGCAACUCUCCUUGUGAAGCAGCUCUCUAUAAUGUGUAUACUAUAUGUACCAUACGGGUGGAAAAUUUUCAAUAUUUAGAACAUUUCGCGGGUAGUAGGGUGUUGUGGCACCUAUCUUGCAUGCGCAUAUGAAGCCUUCCACGGGUUCUAAUUUUCGUGUUCUGCAUGCAGCCACCCACAAAAAACGCGAAAUUAAAAAACACCUCGAAAUUUUCCACCGGCAUACGGUAUCUGUGAAUUUUCUAUAAUACAAUGUAUUAUUGGUUAAUUAGCCGACACAAAUACAAUGAAAAUUUUAAGCAUGCG